rnacentral:rRNA from 1 species
AUGAACGCUGACAGAAUGCUUAACACAUGCAAGUCAACUUGAACUUCGGUUUGGGUGGCGGACGGGUGAGUAACGCGUAAAGAACUUGCCUCACAGCUAGGGACAACAUUUGGAAACGAAUGCUAAUACCUGAUAUUAUGAUUUUAGGGCAUCCUAGAAUUAUGAAAGCUAUAUGCGCUGUGAGAGAGCUUUGCGUCCCAUUAGCUAGUUGGAGGGGUAACGGCUCACCAAGGCGAUGAUGGGUAGCCGGCCUGAGAGGGUGAACGGCCACAAGGGGACUGAGACACGGCCCUUACUCCUACGGGAGGCAGCAGUGGGGAAUAUUGGACAAUGGACCAAGAGUCUGAUCCAGCAAUUCUGUGUGCACGAUGAAGUUUUUCGGAAUGUAAAGUGCUUUCAGUUGGGAAGAAAAAAAUGACGGUACCAACAGAAGAAGUGACGGCUAAAUACGUG